rnacentral:rRNA from 1 species
CCGGUGGACCUCGGAUCAGGUAGGGAUACCCGCUGAACUUAAGCAUAUCAAUAAGCGGAGGAAAAGAAACCAACCGGGAUUGCCUCAGUAACGGCGAGUGAAGCGGCAACAGCUCAAAUUUGAAAUCUGGCCUCUGCGGGGUCCGAGUUGUAAUUUGCAGAGGGUGUUUCGGGUGCGGUGCCGGUCUAAGUUCCUUGGAACAGGACGUCAUAGAGGGUGAGAAUCCCGUCUGCGACUCGGCCACCAACCCCGCGUGAAACCCCUUCGACGAGUCGAGUUGUUUGGGAAUGCAGCUCAAAAUGGGUGGUAAAUUUCAUCUAAAGCUAAAUACCGGCCAGAGACCGAUAGCGCACAAGUAGAGUGAUCGUAAGAUGAAAAGCACUUUGGAAAGAGAGUU